rnacentral:rRNA from 1 species
GAUGAACGCUGGCGGCGUGCCUAAUACAUGCAAGUCGAGCGAACGGACGAGAAGCUUGCUUCUCUGAUGUUAGCGGCGGACGGGUGAGUAACACGUGGAUAACCUACCUAUAAGACUGGGAUAACUUCGGGAAACCGGAGCUAAUACCGGAUGAUAUUUUGAACCGCAUGGUUCAAAAGUGAAAGACGGUCUUGCUGUCACUUAUAGAUGGAUCCGCGCUGCAUUAGCUAGUUGGUAAGGUAACGGCUUACCAAGGCAACGAUGCAUAGCCGACCUGAGAGGGUGAUCGGCCACACUGAAACUGAGACACGGUCCAGCCUCCUCGGGGGGGCAGCAGUGGGGAAUCUUCCGCAAGGGGCGAAAGCCUGCCGGAGCAACGCCGCGGGAGUGAUGAAGGGCUUCGGAUCGUAAAACCUUUUUAUUAGGGAAAAACAUUUGUGUAAGUAACUGGCCCCAUCUGGCCGGUACCUAAGCAGAAAGCCCCGGCUAACUACGU